rnacentral:tRNA from 1 species
GCCGAGGUGGCGGAAAGGUAGACGCGGCGGACUUAAAAUCCGUUUCCCGUAAGGGAGUGUGGGUUCGAGUCCCUCCCUCGGCA